GGUUUGCCGCUGGUUUUUGUGUCUACGUGGACCUUUAUUAUGUCACGUGAGCUUCAUACAUCGUGUUGGAAAGGUUAUGGAAAGUCCAAUUAUGUAUGGAUUCUAACUGGUCCUAUGGUCAUCGCUUUGCUGGUAAACAGUGUUUUUAUGGUCAAUAGUCAGAAUAUUGAUUACAAAACUAAACCGAAGCGUAUCAGUAGAAAGCGCGCAAAUCAAGAAAGCUGUUAAGGCAACUGCUCUGCUUUUCCCUCUUCUCGGCCUCACUCAUUUAAUGUUCUACGUCAACCCCAAAGAUGAUGCCAUGUUUGAAGAAGCCUGUAUGAUUACAAACGCUAUUCUACAAUCGUCAC